rnacentral:rRNA from 1 species
UUUAUGGAGAGUUUGAUCCUGGCUCAGGAUGAACGCUGGCGGCGUGCCUAAUACAUGCAAGUCGAGCGAACGGACGAGAAGCUUGCUUCUCUGAUGUUAGCGGCGGACGGGUGAGUAACACGUGGAUAACCUACCUAUAAGACUGGGAUAACUUCGGGAAACCGGAGCUAAUACCGGAUAAUAUUUUGAACCGCAUGGUUCAAAAGUGAAAGACGGUCUUGCUGUCACUUAUAGAUGGAUCCGCGCUGCAUUAGCUAGUUGGUAAGGUAACGGCUUACCAAGGCAACGAUGCAUAGCCGACCUGAGAGGGUGAUCGGCCACACUGGAACUGAGACACGGUCCAGACUCCUACGGGAGGCAGCAG